AAAGGAAGGAAAUUUGUAUAAAAAAACACACUCUGCUGACUGACUUUGGCGGCACUCCGCGUAAACCGUACUCUUUUGGAUUUUAAUUUCCUUUUUCUUUUGCUUUCUUUUCUCCUCAACCAAACAAAGGGUUUAAAGAUUUGAAAGCAAAGAUACCCUUUUUACUUUGUUUGUUCUCUUUUUGGCUACUGCCCUUCAGUUACCUUUAAUGUCAUAAGACAAUCCAUCCUUAUUUCCUUUACCAAAAAAAAAACCUAAUUUUGAUUUCCCUCUCUCUCUCUCUGAACGAGGGGAUUUGUUUGAAGUGAAAGCUUGUCUUUUUUGUUUUUCUAAGGUCUCAAGAUUUCAAAGUUUGCUCUCAGAUCGGUUCUACUGCACUUCCAUAAAAGUUUGGUGUGCAGUGUUACUUCUAAAGCAUCAACAUCAAAUUUUUGUUAUCGGGUUCUCUUUUCAGUCAUGGCUGGUGAUACGAAGGCAAAUCUUUCUAAUGGUAAUGCUAAUAUAGAGCAGCAUGAUCCAAGAAGAACUUACCAAGUUGUUGUGGCUGCAACUAGGGAUAUGGGUAUUGGGAAGGAUGGGAAACUUCCAUGGAGAUUACCUUCUGAUCUCAAAUUUUUUAAGGAUGUUACUUUGACUACUACUGAUUCUGGGAAAAAGAAUGCUGUUAUAAUGGGUAGAAAAACAUGGGAAAGUAUUCCUCUAGAGCAUCGACCUCUUCCUGGUCGUCUGAAUGUUGUUUUGACUCGAUCAGGCAGUUUUGAUAUUGCUACUGCUGAGAAUGUUGUGAUGUGUGGAAGCUUUGCUUCUGCUUUGGAAUUAUUGGCUGCUUCUCCAUAUUGUCUCUCAAUCGAGAAAGUAUAUGUCAUAGGAGGAGGCCAAAUUUUAAGGGAAGCUCUUAAUGCACCUGGAUGUGAUGCUGUCCACAUUACAGAAAUUGAGACAAGCUUUGAUUGUGAUACUUUCAUUCCUGCAAUUGAUUCUUCUAUAUUUCAUCCUUGGUAUUUAUCCUUUCCCAUGGUAGAAAAUAACAUACGAUAUUCAUUUGCAACUUAUGUUCGAGUUAGGAGCUCUGCAGUUGAAUCCAAUGGUCACGAUAGUGGUCUGAGCUCUGAAAGCAGUUCAGAAAAUAGUAAGUUCGAUGUAAAAAAGUUUUCUUUCCUUCCUAAGAUGGUUUUUGACAGACACGAGGAGUUCUUGUAUCUGAGACUUGUUCAAGAAAUCAUCUCUGAUGGCAUCUUGAAGGAUGACAGAACUGGAACUGGUACUUUAUCAAAAUUUGGGUGUCAGGUGCGGUUCAACUUGCGAAAAACUUUUCCGCUUCUUACAACAAAGAAAGUAUUCUGGCGAGGUGUUGUUGAAGAACUCCUGUGGUUCAUUAGUGGUUCAACAAAUGCCAAGGUCCUUCAGGAAAAGGGAAUUCAUAUUUGGGAUGGCAAUGCAUCCAGGGAUUACCUCGAUAGUAUUGGGUUGAAGAACAGAGAGGAGGGUGACCUGGGACCUGUUUAUGGAUUCCAGUGGAGACACUUUGGUGCUAGGUAUACUGACAUGCAUGCUGACUACACUGGUCAAGGAUUUGAUCAGUUGUUAGACGUUGUUAACAAGAUUAAGAAUAAUCCAGAUGAUCGUCGAAUUAUCCUUUCAGCUUGGAAUCCCUCUGAUCUGAAAUUGAUGGCACUACCUCCCUGUCAUAUGUUUGCUCAGUUCUAUGUAGCAAACGGGGAGUUAUCAUGUCAAAUGUAUCAGCGAUCUGCUGACAUGGGACUGGGUGUGCCAUUCAACAUUGCAUCUUAUGGUCUCUUGACAUGCAUAAUUGCUCAUGUUUGUGAUCUCGUUCCUGGUGAUUUUGUUCAUGUGAUCGGGGAUACUCAUGUUUAUCGCACUCAUGUUAGGCCUCUCCAGGAGCAGCUUCAGAAACUCCCAAAACCUUUUCCAAUAUUGAAGAUCAACCCAGAGAAAAAGAACAUAGAUUCUUUCGUGGCAGCUGAUUUUAAACUCAUAGGAUAUGAUCCUCACCACAAAAUUGAAAUGAAAAUGGCAGUAUAAGUCUUCAUUAAUGGUCAACGAACUCGGACACUUUGCACUAUCCUAGGCAAUAUUUGCUUGUAGUUUUGAGUCAGGAGUGGCAGAAAGAAUUAGUGGAUUGGCCAUGUCGAAAUCAACGCAAAUAAAGCUGGCAUUCCCACAAAUAUCCAAGUCCCUGAUGAUGAUUAGCAUCAUGUUCUUCAGCAACGAACACAAUAGUGUCAGAAAGAACUAGCAGAUUGACAAUAGUUCCACAGACUACAGAGAAGCAUAUAUAAUCACUUGAUUCUCUUUAUUAGCAUAUAACCUUGACUAUGUCGAGUACUAGCUUCUGUGGUCCUAUUCUGCAACUCAAAGGAACAGUCAAUGUCUUCCACCACCAGUAUCUGCCCUAUUCCCUUCGAACUCCAACAACUUCCUGAGAUCAGACUUGGUUCGAAGAUCAGUCAACUCCAGGCAAUAUAUAUUAAACCUGAUAUAAUUAGCCAUUGCAGCAAUUUAUCUUGAUCUCCCAUCACUGGUGGUCCAAAUAUGUAUCCGCGCCGCAAUCAGUCUUGUAAAACUCUUUUCUCUUCACAAAUCUAUCACAACUUUCCACGAUCAUGGUCUUCACUUUUACU